rnacentral:rRNA from 1 species
CAGUAGCCGCGGUAAUACGGAGGGUGCAAGCGUUAUCCGGAUUUAUUGGGUUUAAAGGGUCCGUAGGCGGAUCUGUAAGUCAGUGGUGAAAUCUCACAGCUUAACUGUGAAACUGCCAUUGAUACUGCAGGUCUUGAGUAAAUUUGAAGUGGCUGGAAUAAGUAGUGUAGCGGUGAAAUGCAUAGAUAUUACUUAGAACACCAAUUGCGAAGGCAGGUCACUAAGAUUUAACUGACGCUGAUGGACGAAAGCGUGGGGAGCGAACAGGAUUAGAGACCCCCGUAGUCCCUGUCUCUUAUAA